rnacentral:rRNA from 1 species
CCUACGGGUGGCAGCAGUGGGGAAUAUUGCGCAAUGGGCGCAACCCUGACCCAGCAACGCCGCGUGAAGGAAGACGGCUUUCGGGUUGUAAAAUUCUUUUGUCCGGGGAGAGUAGAAGACGGUACCUGACGAAUAAGUCACGGGUAACUACGUGCCAGCAGCCGCGGUAAUACGUAGGUGGCAAGCGUUGUCCGGAUUUACUGGGGUUAAAGGGCGGGUAGCCGGGGUGACAAGUCAGAUGUGAAAUCCUACGGCUUAACCGGAGAGCUGCAUUUGAAACUGGUGAUCUUGAGUACUGGAGAGGCAGACGGAAUUCCUAGUGUAGCGGUGAAAUGCGUAGAUAUCUGGAGGAACAUCAGUGGCGAAGGCGACUAUCUGGCACAUAACUGACGCUGAGGAGCGAAAGCGUUGGGAGCAAACAGGAUUAGAUACCCGAGUAGUC